UACAGAGGUCUCAAGCGUUGUUCGGAUUCAUUGGGCGUAAAGGGUGCGUAGGCGGCGCGGUAAGUCGGGUGUGAAAUCUUGGAGCUUAACUCCGAAACUGCAUUCGAUACUGGAAGGCUUGAAUCCGGGAGAGGGAUGCGGAAUUCCAGGUGUAGCGGUGAAAUGCGUAGAUAUCUGGAGGAACACCGGUGGCGAAGGCGGCAUCCUGGACCGGCAUUGACGCUGAGGCGCGAAAGCCAGGGGAGCAAAGCGGG
rnacentral:rRNA from 1 species